AUACGGAGGAUGCGAGCGUUAUCCGGAUUUAUUGGGUUUAAAGGGUGCGUAGGCUGUGCGUUAAGUCAGGGGUGAAAUGCCGUCGCUCAACGACGGAGCUGCCCUUGAUACUGGCGUGCUGGAGUACGGAUGCCGUUGGAGGAAUGAGUGGUGUAGUGGUGAAAUGCUUAGAUAUCACUCAGAACACCGAUUGCGAAGGCAUCUGACGAAUCCGUCACUGACGCUGAGGCACGAAAGCGUGGGGAUAGAACAGGAUUAGAUACCCUGGUAUUCCACGCCGUAAACGAUGAUGACUAACCGUCGGCGAUAGACAGCCGGUGGCAAGCGAAAGCGAUAAGUCAUCCACCUGGGGAGUACGUCGGCAACGAUGAAACUCAAAUGAAUUGACGGGG
rnacentral:rRNA from 1 species